AGUCCCAAUCCCUUGAGUUCCCUUCGCAUUGUGCGUGUGGAAAUGCUCUUACUUUCAGUAUUAAACAUAGCCCUGAGUUCUACUGUUGUUUUUCUUCGAUUUGAUCUCACCGCACGUUUAAGUGAUCGCCGAUCACCAUCAUUCAGGAUCUUUUUCCGGCCACAUUUCUUCCUUGAAGAUGAUGGGUCCCCACUAUCCUUCCAGUUUUUAAUAAUGUGUUGGACAGUUCUUAACCCAAUUUUAGUAGUUUCUGCAAUCUCUUUAGAUGUUUUCUCCGCUUGAUGCAUGCCAAUGAUUUGACCCAUCUCAAACAGACUAAUAUCUUUUCCACGACCACGGGAUGUGUCUUUCCACAUGGUUGUUUAGGAAAUGAGAAGCAAGUCAUUGCACCAUCCAUCCAUUUUCU